AAAAAACCGAUGAUGGAGAGAGUAAUCGGAACUUUAUUUGAGCAGAGAGGAAAUAUCCCGGCUGAAAAUAUUUCCACAAAUAUCCCGAUGAAAGACACUCCGUAGGAAUCCGCUUCGAACGGCAUUAAUGCCCAGUAGGGGAUGGACGCACAACAGGCGUUAUAUGUGAAAGUGAAAGCAUUUUGCUUUUAUAAGGGUGGCACCGCGGGAAACAACUCUCGUCCCUUGU
rnacentral:ncRNA from 1 species